rnacentral:rRNA from 1 species
UAUUGGACAAUGGGCGAAAGCCUGAUCAAGCAAUACCGCGUGUGUGAAGAAGGCCUUAGGGUUGUAAAGCACUUUCAAUUGGGAGGAAAACCUGCCGGUCAAUACCCGGUAGCUUAACAUUACCUUUAGAAGAAGCACCGGCUAACUCCGUGCCAGCAGCCGCGGUAAUACGGAGGGUGCGAGCGUUAAUCGGAAUUACUGGGCGUAAAGCGUGCGUAGGCGGUUCGUUAAGUCAGAUGUGAAAGCCCUGGGCUCAACCUGGGAACUGCAUUUGAAACUGGCGGACUAGAGUUUAGUAGAGGGGAGUGGAAUUUCAGGUGUAGCGGUGAAAUGCGUAGAUAUCUGAAGGAACACCAGUGGCGAAGGCGACUCCCUGGACUAGAACUGACGCUGAGGUACGAAA